AUGGUAUUAUCAAAAGAACAGCUCAGCUACUGAAGCGACCGCCCCCGUACAGGGUUCGAUUUAUGUGCUUAUUGUGCUAGUCCCUGGAUCGACUCACUCGCACACACAGUUUCAUGAUGAAAUAUCAAGAUACAAAUGUCAAAGUACUUUAUUACAUCGCAUCAUCCAAAAUUUAAUAGUACUUACAACCUCGCAUGACCCCUUGGGUCAGCAUAACAAAUAGAGUUUCAAAAAAAAAAACCAUAGAACAUUGUUCCAAAAACUGCGGCGGAAAAGGGUAGAACAUAAGGGCCACACUACUCCAAGGUGAGAGCAUGUUGGAAUGUAAGCACAUGACCCACAAGACAACGACGAACCUCACUCAUCAUCGGAUCCACCUGCAUUGUUAAUUGCAGCCACUACGUGGUCAAUACAUUGAAUGUAUUGGCAAGUUCACCAGAGUUAUAAAAGGACCUACCAAGU
rnacentral:lncRNA from 1 species